rnacentral:lncRNA from 1 species
CCAGAGGAUUUCUAGGAUCCUCUGUCCUCAAGGAAUCAAGUGCAGACUUCUACUUGCAGAAAAACUCAGCUGGACACAGCUCAACUGAGCUGCACAUAUAUUCUCCCUCUACAAUCCACCAUAUAGGAGUGGAUGCUCUCUGGAACAUUCCAACUCCACUGCAGAGGCCCAGAACAGAGUAACAAUCACUGUCACCUCACAAACCAGGUUUUAUUACUAUGCCAUAAAAGAAACAGGAGACACCAGAUCUUGUGAAAUGUUUAAAUAACUUUAAACUUUAUUAAGUAAAAUUGCAUAAACAUAACCAUAAGAUAAUGAAUAGAAACAUUCAAUACAAACUAUCACAUGUAAAAUAGAAUAUUAUAUAACUGGUGGUUUCAACCCUAAAUAUUAAAUCCCCAAUUUUAUACGGUGGGAAUAUUAAUCUAAUGAGAAAAAAAUCUCAAUUUCAUCUUAAUAUAUACCAAAACUUUUUAAGAAA